CGUGUAGGCGGUCGGUUAAGUCGGGUGUGAAAGCCCGGGGCUCAGCUCCGGAAGUGCAUCCGAAACUGGCCGGCUGGAGCGCGGUAGAGGAGGGUGGAAUUCCUGGUGUAGCGGUGAAAUGCGUAGAUAUCAGGAGGAACACCGGCGGCGAAGGCGGCCCUCUGGACCGUUGCUGACGCUGAGACGCGAAAGCGUGGGGAGCAAACAGGAUUAGAUACCCUGGUAGUCCACGCUGUAAACUAUGGGUACUAGGUGUUCGGGGUGUUGACCCCCUGAGUGCCGACGCUAACGCAUUAAGUACCCGCCUGGGGACUACGGCCGCAAGGUUAAA
rnacentral:rRNA from 1 species